AUCUACAGCCAUACAACCCUGAACAUGCCCGAUCUCAUCUGAUCUCAGAAGCUAAGCAGGACUGGACCUGAUUAGUACUUGGAUGGGAGAAACUGAAGCCAAAGGAA
rnacentral:rRNA from 1 species